rnacentral:rRNA from 1 species
CAUGUAGGCGGCUUAAUAAGUCGAGCGUGAAAAUGCGGGGCUCAACCCCGUAUGGCGCUGGAAACUGUUAGGCUUGAGUGCAGGAGAGGAAAGGGGAAUUCCCAGUGUAGCGGUGAAAUGCGUAGAUAUUGGGAGGAACACCAGUGGCGAAGGCGCCUUUCUGGACUGUGUCUGACGCUGAGAUGCGAAGGCAGGGUAGCGAACG